CCCGAGUGGUUAUGGCUCGAAAUCAACAGCUGAACAAGUUGCAGACAAUUGUUCUUGCUGGGUCGACCCUCACCAUCUAACUGCUAUAAUCACUGGUAAUUAGUCCACAAAAUUUAAAUUCAUCUCUCAUAUGUGUGGAGGAACAAAAACUUUCUGAUGGAAACAUUUCAUCUUUCUUAUUCACUUUUUCUUCUCUGAUUCUUGCAUGCAUGGAAAACAGGUUUUGUUUGUGUAUAAUACGGAUACAUACCAAGUCUACGUCUGCCUUUUUUCCUCUUUUCAGCAAGUUUUCCUAUGAAUACCGCUUCUCCUCAGGAGAUUCUCACCUUUGGUAGGGUUAUGUCUUGUCUGCCUGUUUAAACAGUCAUCCCUCUUUGCUUUCUUAUUGAUUUGUCCGAUCAUCCGCUCUCUUUUGUUCCCUUUUUUUUUUCCCAUUUUCUUUCGCGGAUUCUGAAAGAAUAUUUUCAUGAAUUUGCCUGAGAAUUCGAUCCAGGCUGAAAUUCCCAUUGUAUUCAUAGCUGUAGUACGUG
rnacentral:lncRNA from 1 species